AUUGAACGCUGGCGGCAUGCUUUACACAUGCAAGUCGAACGGCAGCGCGGGCUUCGGCCUGGCGGCGAGUGGCGAACGGGUGAGUAAUACAUCGGAACGUGCCCAGUAGUGGGGGAUAGCACGGCGAAAGCCGGAUUAAUACCGCAUACGACCUGAGGGUGAAAGCGGGGGAUCUUCGGACCUCGCGCUAUUGGAGCGGCCGAUGGCAGAUUAGCUAGUUGGUGGGGUAAAGGCCUACCAAGGCGACGAUCUGUAGCUGGUCUGAGAGGACGACCAGCCACACUGGGACUGAGACACGGCCCAGACUCCUACGGGAGGCAGCAGUGGGGAAUUUUGGACAAUGGGCGAAAGCCUGAUCCAGCAAUGCCGCGUGUGUGAUGAAGGCCUUCGGGUUGUAAAGCACUUUCGGCGGGAACGAAAAGGACUGUGCCAAUACCACGGUUCGAUGACGGUACCCGCAGAAUAAGCACCGGCUAACUACGUG
rnacentral:rRNA from 1 species